GCGUUCGGGUAAUCGCUGCAACAGAUAACUGUUGUUGAGGAAAGUCCAUGCUCGCACGGUGCUGAGAUGCCCGUAGUGAUCGUGCCUAGCAAAGUCAUAAGCUAGGGCAGUUUGGAUUCGUCUGGGCUGACGGCAGGGAAAACACCUAAGUCCAAUAAAGGAUAUGGUGUGAAUACCUUUAAAGUGCCACAGUGACGUAGCCUUAUGAGAAAUCAUAAGGGUGGAACGAGGUAAACCCCGCGAGCGAGAAACUCAAAUUAUGGUAGGGGAAUCCUUUCUCUCGGAAAUGAACGAAGAAAGGGACAGGCACUAUAUGAAGUGUCUGUAGAUAGAUGAUUACCACCUGAGUACGAGAUCAUUACCUGGUCGUUAGAAGUACAACGGUACAGAACAUGGCUUACAGAA
rfam:Bacillus sp. VT-16-70 Bacillus_obstructivus_contig166, whole genome shotgun sequence.